UACGAAGGGUGCAACCGUUGCUCGGAAUUAUUGGGCGUAACGCGCACGUAGGCGGCUUAGCAAGUUGGAUGUGAAAUCCCUCGGCUCAACCAAGGAAGUGCAUCCAAAACUGCUGAGCUUGAGUACUUAAGAGGAUCGCGGAAUUCCCGGUGUAGAGGUGAAAUUCGUAGAUAUCGGGAGGAACACCAGUGGCGAAGGCGGCGAUCUGGGAAGAUACUGACGCUGAGGUGCGAAAGCGUGGGGAGCAAACGGG
rnacentral:rRNA from 1 species